CCUACGGGAGACAGCAGUAGGGAAUUUUCGGCAAUGGGGGGAACCCUGACCGAGCAACGCCGCGUGAACGAAGAAGUUAUUCGUAAUGUAAAGUUCUUUUAACAGGGAAGAAAGAGAAAUUUGACGGUACCUGAAGAAUAAGCUCCGGCUAACUACGUACCAGCAGCCGCGGUAAUACGUAGGGCGCGAGCGUUAUCCGGAUUUAUUGGGCGAAAAGGGUGCGUAGAUGGCAUAGUAAGUCUUUUGUAAAAAUGCUGGGCUAAACCCAGUAGGGCAAAAGAUACUGCAAAGCUAGAGUAUGACAGAGGCGAGUGGAACUACAUGUGUAGCGGUAAAAUGCGUAAAUAUAUGUAAGAACACCAGUGGCGAAGGCGGCUUGCUGGGUCGAUACUGACAUUGAGGCACGAAAGCGUGGGGAGCAAACAGGAUUAGAUACCCUUGUAGUC
rnacentral:rRNA from 1 species